rnacentral:rRNA from 1 species
GAUGAACGCUGGCGGCGUGCCUAAUACAUGCAAGUCGAGCGAACAGACGAGGAGCUUGCUCCUCUGACGUUAGCGGCGGACGGGUGAGUAACACGUGGAUAACCUACCUAUAAGACUGGGAUAACUUCGGGAAACCGGAGCUAAUACCGGAUAAUAUAUUGAACCGCAUGGUUCAAUAGUGAAAGACGGUUUUGCUGUCACUUAUAGAUGGAUCCGCGCCGCAUUAGCUAGUUGGUAAGGUAACGGCUUACCAAGGCAACGAUGCGUAGCCGACCUGAGAGGGUGAUCGGCAACACUGGAACGGAAAAAAGGUCCAGACUCCUAAGGGAGGCAGCAGUAGGGAAUCUUCCGCAAUGGGCGAAAGCCUGACGGAGCAACGCCGCGUGAGUGAUGAAGGUCUUCGGAUCGUAAAACUCUGUUAUUAGGGAAGAACAAAUGUGUAAGUAACUAUGCACGUCUUGACGGUACCUAAUCAGAAAGCCACGGCUAACUACGUG